rnacentral:rRNA from 1 species
AGGGGAUGCAAGCGUUACUCGGAAUUACUGGGCAUAAAGCGUCUGCAGGUUUCUUUUCAAGUCUGGCGUAAAAGCACUGGGGCUCAACCCCGUGUACGUGCCGGAAACUAAAGAGAUAGAGUCAUUCAGAGGCAUCUGGAAUGUCGUGUGUAGGGGUAAAAUCCGUAGAUCCACGAUGGAACGCCAAAAGCGAAGGCAGGAUGCUGGGGAUGUACUGACACUCAGAGACGAAAGCGUGGGGAGCAAAGGGGAUUAGAUACCCCCGUAGUCCACGCCCUAAACUAUGCGGGCUCGGUGUAGGAAUUUUCAAUUGUUCCUGUGCCCAAGUUAACACGGUAAGCCCGCCGCCUGGGAAGUACGGCCGCAAGGCUA